ensembl:lncRNA
GCAAACUGAAAUACUCAAAGACUCCAUCCAUGACUGAGAUUCAACCCCCUCUUACAGGAAGGCUCUUGAUCGCCAUCAGAAUAAGGGGUCCUCAUCCAUCGUGCAGAAAAUAAAAAAAAAAUUCAAUUACUACAGUUCUAUGCUUUACUUAAUAAUUAAUCGCCCAUCCCAUCACACUAUGAAUAUUUACAUGCAAAGCGUCCCUGGGAGCCAUCCAUAUGCCAGAGGGAGGGAAGUCUGUGUGUUUAUAGCAUUAAACGCUCAAAUAUCGUCACAAACCCCAUUUCGCCUCCAACCAUGAAAAACACUCACUAAAGCAUUGCAAGCAUUUUAUUUGGUGUUGCACAAUGUAACCUAUUCAAGUCCCAUUUAGACGUGGAGAGUCAGACUACAGGUACUCUCUCUAUGCUGAGCAGGAAAAUGCAGGUGGAUGCCCCACUGGUUGCUUGGAUCACUGACUAUUUAACAAGUCGACCACAGCAUGUUCGGCUGAAGAGCUGCCGCUCGGAUAACAGGGGCGCCGCAGGUGACUGUCCUAUUACCCUUCCUCUUCACCCUCUACACAUCUGACUUCAGGUACAAGUCUCAGUGAUGUCAUCUGCAG